rnacentral:rRNA from 1 species
ACUCCUACGGGAGGCAGCAGUAGGGAAUCUUCCACAAUGGGCGCAAGCCUGAUGGAGCAACACCGCGUGAGUGAAGAAGGGUUUCGGCUCGUAAAGCUCUGUUGUUAAAGAAGAACACGUAUGAGAGUAACUGUUCAUACGUUGACGGUAUUUAACCAGAAAGUCACGGCUAACUACGUGCCAGCAGCCGCGGUAAUACGUAGGUGGCAAGCGUUAUCCGGAUUUAUUGGGCGUAAAGAGAGUGCAGGCGGUUUUCUAAGUCUGAUGUGAAAGCCUUCGGCUUAACCGGAGAAGUGCAUCGGAAACUGGAUAACUUGAGUGCAGAAGAGGGUAGUGGAACUCCAUGUGUAGCGGUGGAAUGCGUAGAUAUAUGGAAGAACACCAGUGGUGAAGGCGGCUACCUGGUCUGCAACUGACGCUGAGACUCGAAAGCAUGGGUAGCGAACAGGAUUAGAUACCCUGGUAGGAUAGCG